rnacentral:rRNA from 1 species
UAAGUCAGAACCGUGCUAGAAACGAUGAUGUUGGUCCUGCACAUAUUAGCUGUGUUAAAAUAGAGCUUUGCUCGUGAACCAAAUCAGACAGACGUGGGUAUUGCAGUGGAAAUCUGUGGUAUCUAGUUUGUGAAUUGUAAUUACCAUAUGGGCGGGGGUGAAUCCUUUGCAGACGACUUGAAUGGGAACGGGGUACUGUAAGCAGUAGAGUAGCCUUGUUGCUACGAUCUGCUGAGGUUAAGCCCUUGUUCUAAAGAUUUGU